rnacentral:piRNA from 1 species
UAUCCCCAAAGGACGGUCCAAACAUGU